GUCGGAGGUUGUGGGUAGUACUCAAAGCUGGAAAGAUGUGUACAGAGGCAUGUCAUCUGAUAAUAUUAAAGGAUUGGUUCUUGCAUUGUCUUCAAGCAUAUUCAUUGGUGCUAGCUUCAUCGUUAAGAAAAAGGGGUUAAAGAAAGCUGGUGCUUCUGGCGUCAGGGCUGGAGUUGGAGGAUACUCAUAUCUUUUUGAACCACUCUGGUGGGUGGGCAUGAUAACAA
rnacentral:misc_RNA from 1 species